rnacentral:rRNA from 1 species
CAAUAGCGUAUAUUACAGUUGUUGCGGUUAAAAAGCUCGUAGUUGGAUUUCUGCCGAGGACGACCGGUCCGCCCUCUGGGCGUGUAUCUGGUUUGGCCUGGGCAUCUUCUUGGAGAACGUAGCUGCACUUGACUGUGUGGUGCGGUGUCCAGGACUUUUACUUUGAGGAAAUCAGAAUGUUUCAAGCAGGCACACGCCUUGAAUACAUUAGCAUGGAAUAAUAAGAUAGGAUCUCGGUUCUAUUUUGUUGGCUUCUAGAGCUGAGGUAAUGAUUAAUAGUGACAGUUAGAGGCAUUCGUAUUUAAUUGUCAGAAGUGAAAUUCUUAGUUUUGUUGAAGACGAACUACUGCGAAAGCAUUUGCCAAUGAUGUUUUCAUUGA